GCCUCCAGGACCACCUAUUGGAGGUACAUCCUGCCCAGUGAUCUUUUCAACGGCCGCGGUAUCCUGACCGUGCGAAGGUAGCAUAAUCAUUUGCCUUUUAAUUGAAGGCUAGUAUGAACGGAUAAACGAGGUCCAAGCUGUCUCCUCUAUGCCAGUAAAAAUUAGCCCUCAGGUGAAGAGACCUGAAUCCAAAUAAAAGACAAGAAGACCCCGUUGAGUUUAAGUCAAGCCCGGCCCUCCUAGCCAGUGACACUUUAGUUGGGGCGACUAAGGACUACCUAAACCGUCCUUCCCACCAUAAGACCCGUCAGUCUUACGCAAUGACCCUUCACAUAAGAUCCAGAGAACCAACUACCACGGGGAUAACAGGCUUAUCUUCCUAGAGAGCCCAAAUUGAUAGGAAGGUCUGGCACCUCGAUGUUGGCUUAGGGAAGCCAGGAAGCGCAGAAGCUUCCACAGGCUAGUUUGUUCAACUAUUAAACCCCU
rnacentral:rRNA from 1 species